rnacentral:lncRNA from 1 species
CAAUGCCCUGGUCUACAAAUCACAGAUGCUUGCAAUGACAUGACAUGGUUCCAACACCAGUACACAGUCUGAAGGCGGGGAAACCGCAUGUGGUAGUGGUUUGUGCAUCCAAUGGGCAGUGAUUGAGUCCGAUGGUGUUACAGCCAACAAGUCGACGUCAACAGUGCUCAACGACGAAGACGUCGGUCAAGCGGCUAGGGCUCCAAUCAAGUUCCGACAAGUUUCCGGUGUAGCUGCAUACUUGGAUGUUAGCAAAGGGCUAUCACAGGUGGUAGCAAAUAGUAAGGAUGCAAAUAAACCAAGAGCUUGAUGAUACUUAAAGAUGAUGGUUUUUUGUUUGUCAAUUUUGAUACAAUAUAUUAAAAUUUUACAAUUAUUGAAAUAUCUACUUUUUUAGGUGAGAGCCCUUUUAUUCGUGUUGCAAUGCAAGGGC